rnacentral:rRNA from 1 species
GAUGAACGCUGGCGGCGUGCCUAAUACAUGCAAGUCGAGCGAACGGACGAGAAGCUUGCUUCUCUGAUGUUAGCGGCGGACGGGUGAGUAACACGUGGAUAACCUACCUAUAAGACUGGGAUAACUUCGGGAAACCGGAGCUAAUACCGGAUAAUAUUUUGAACCGCAUGGUUCAAAAGUGAAAGACGGUCUUGCUGUCACUUAUAGAUGGAUCCGCGCUGCAUUAGCUAGUUGGUAAGGUAACGGCUUACCAAGGCAACGAUGGGUAGCCCGCCUGGGAGGGGGAACGGCGUCCUUGGGCCUGCGAGACGGCCCAGAAGCCUACGGGAGGCAGCAGUGGGGAAUCUUGCACAAUGGGCGGAAGCCUGAGACAGAAACGCCGCGUGCGGGAUGACGGCUUUCGGGUUGUAAACCGCUUUCGCCUGUGACGAAGCGUGAGUGACGGUAACGGGUAAAGAAGCACCGGCUAACUACGUG